GUAGUGUAUAGUAUGUAUACUGUGUAUAGUAUGCAAAUCUUUUGUAUGCAUAAAAUACCCAGAUGACAUGUUACAUUUGCUAAAUUGUGCACUGAGCUGAAAUUGGAAAUAUCUUCAGACACAUUGAGAUUGAAGGAUUGAAUCCUGGCAUAAAGUUUGUUUAGCCUGCGAUCUAGUUGUGACUCAGCCCAGAGAGACAGCUGGCCCAGAGAAUCUAGUUAAGCUCCAGUCCUGCCUGAUGACCAACUCCCACCACUAUGUGUCGCUGAGUGAUGACUACUGCAGGCUAUGCCAGCCAGACAUCCCUUCAGUCUACUACGACAGACUUCACGGUGAAUAAACUGCUGCCAACUCCAACUGUAAAACAUGGGAUGCUUAACUGACCACUGCCUGAACCUUGCACUUAGGCUUACCGGAAAUGAACAGCCACAAGCUUCCAGCCGGAGUGCGAUGUCCCUCACUGACCUCAUCAGUCAGUAUCAUCUUGGUCAUAGGAUGGACUGUUCUCUCUUAAAAUGGAAAACAUAGACAAUAUGUUUUAUGUUUCUUGUCACAGUCUCCUUUGGCUUUCUCACUGUGGGCCUAAAGACAA